rnacentral:rRNA from 1 species
UGACCUCGGAUCAGGUACGGAUACCCCCGCUGAACUUAAACAUAUCAGUGAAGCCCGAGGACACC